UACGUAGGGGGCAAGCGUUAUCCGGAUUUACUGGGUGUAAAGGGAGCGUAGGUGGUUUAAUAAGUCAGAUGUGAAAGCCCGGGGCUCAACUCCGGGACUGCAUUUGAAACUAUUAAACUAGAGUGCAGGAGAGGUAAGUGGAAUUCCUAGUGUAGCGGUGAAAUGCGUAGAUAUUAGGAGGAACACCAGUGGCGAAGGCGGCUUACUGGACUGUAACUGACACUGAGGCUCGAAAGCGUGGGGAGCAAACAGG
rnacentral:rRNA from 1 species